rnacentral:rRNA from 1 species
CCUACGGGAGGCAGCAGUGAGGAAUAUUGGUCAAUGGGCGAGAGCCUGAACCAGCCAAGUAGCGUGCAGGAUGACGGCCCUAUGGGUUGUAAACUGCUUUUAUAAGGGAAUAAAGUGAGCCUCGUGAGGCUUUUUGCAUGUACCUUAUGAAUAAGGACCGGCUAAUUCCGUGCCAGCAGCCGCGGUAAUACGGAAGGUCCGGGCGUUAUCCGGAUUUAUUGGGUUUAAAGGGAGCGUAGGCCUGAAAUUAAGCGUGUUGUGAAAUGUAGAUGCUCAACAUCUGCACUGCAGCGCGAACUGGUUUCCUUGAGUACGCACAAAGUGGGCGGAAUUCGUGGUGUAGCGGUGAAAUGCUUAGAUAUCACGAAGAACUCCGAUUGCGAAGGCAGCUCACUGGAGCGCAACUGACGCUGAAGCUCGAAAGUGCGGGUAUCGAACAGGAUUAGAUACCCGAGUAGUC